rnacentral:lncRNA from 1 species
CUUCUCACUUACUGUCAAGUCACCAGGAGAGUUGUUGGAUCAUCUCCAUGGUUCCUGUCUGUUUCGUUUGAAGAUGGAAAGACAAAUAUCUAGCGGUGGCUUUACAAUACUCUUGGGACCACACUGUCACAAUCUCUGCAAAGUCCAUUCAGAUAAGCAGCCUUCCCAGGCUGCCCUAAAAACCCCCAGACCUUCCUCCCUCCCCUCCCUCUCCUCCCUUCCCUCUCUUCCUGCCCUGCCCUCCUGCAGCUGCCCCAGCCUUGAGCGCAUGGGAGUUUGCCCCCACAUUCGGUCACUGUUCCUACUAGAGCCAGCAUCAGACAGAUGGAGCCAAUGCCAACCAGGUACCGAGGAGGAGUGGGGGAUGGAGAGGUGAAACCUUUACCCACGAACAGCUUAGAAUAUGAGUGACGGCUAACAACUAAAAGCAAAAGAAAACAAAUGAAACCCAAGAGACAGUGAGUCCCGUGAAUACAACACUCGGGAGCUCAGGUAUUGAGCACCAGAACCAUCGUACAGCCAUGUUUGCUUCUAAUCCUGCCUACGCCAGCAUCAGAGACCAACUUUCGGGCUAGACUGUGUUCUACCUCCAAUGUGUUUCAAUCAUUUCCCUCCACAGCAGAGCCAUUCCUGAGGUGCAGCUCAUCUCCCCACCUCAGCGUGAACACCUUCUCUUUCAAAAGCUUUCCUUGUCUUUGCCGGGAUCACUGAGACUACUGAAUGCUGGCAGUCUGUCUCUCUCAGCGCUAGACUCGAGCACCCAGGAGCUAAGGACUCUCCACCUCACUUUCUCCCAGACAGCAUACACAGUACCCAUGGCUUAGAAGCAGGCCUUAUUACAUAGCCUUCUCCUCAAGAAGCAGAACCUCACCAUCUGGCAUGUCUUCACUAUCUGUGUACUACGUGUUGCCUGGUUCACCAAAACAAAAUGAAAUCUGU